GGGCCUGUAGCUCAGGGGUUAGAGCAGAAGACUCAUAAUCUUUUUGUCGAUGGUUCAAUUCCAUCCAGGCCCACCA
rnacentral:tRNA from 2 species